UUCCAUCGCUAAGUCAAGGCCUCUUCCUGCGACUUCGGUCGUGCACGACUUCGGUUGUGCUUGUUUCAAUGGAAUUCCGUCUGUUACAGCUUUGGUAUAUUAACACUGGCCCGCACCGAAUUUCGUUAUGAACCUAGGUUGACUUGCUUUCGUCUUGAAAGCCUGUCGCAAGGGCCAGCUGUGUUUUGUUUUUGAGUAGAAGUCUGCUUCUGCCUUUUUUGGUGGCAUUGUAGCAGAAUUUCUUAGUAACAUCCCACACAUUA
rnacentral:snoRNA from 1 species